AUUGAACGCUGGCGGCAGGCCUAACACAUGCAAGUCGAACGGUAACAGGAAGCAGCUUGCUGCUUCGCUGACGAGUGGCGGACGGGUGAGUAAUGUCUGGGAAACUGCCCGAUGGAGGGGGAUAACUACUGGAAACGGUAGCUAAUACCGCAUAACGUCGCAAGACCAAAGAGGGGGACCUUCGGGCCUCUUGCCAUCGGAUGUGCCCAGAUGGGAUUAGCUUGUUGGUGAGGUAACGGCUCACCAAGGCGACGAUCCCUAGCUGGUCUGAGAGGAUGACCAGCCACACUGGAACUGAGACACGGUCCAGACUCCUACGGGAGGCAGCAGUGGGGAAUAUUGCACAAUGGGCGCAAGCCUGAUGCAGCCAUGCCGCGUGUAUGAAGAAGGCCUUCGGGUUGUAAAGUACUUUCAGCGGGGAGGAAGGGGUUAAGGUUAAUAACCUUAGCCAUUGACGUUACCCGCAGAAGAAGCACCGGCUAACUCCGUGCCAGCAGCCGCGGUAAUACGGAGGGUGCAAGCGUUAAUCGGAAUUACUGGGCGUAAGGCGCACGCAGGCGGUCUGUCAAGUCGGAUGUGAAAUCCCCGGGCUCAACCUGGGAACUGCAUUCGAAACUGGCAGGCUUGAGUCUCGUAGAGGGGGGUAGAAUUCCAGGUGUAGCGGUGAAAUGCGUAGAGAUCUGGAGGAAUACCGGUGGCGAAGGCGGCCCCCUGGACGAAGACUGACGCUCAGGUGCGAAAGCGUGGGGAGCAAACAGGAUUAGAUACCCUGGUAGUCCACGCCGUAAACGAUGUCUAUUUGGAGGUUGUGCCCUUGAGGCGUGGCUUCCGGAGCUAACGCGUUAAAUAGACCGCCUGGGGAGUACGGCCGCAAGGUUAAAACUCAAAUGAAUUGACGGGGGCCCGCACAAGCGGUGGAGCAUGUGGUUUAAUUCGAUGCAACGCGAAGAACCUUACCUGGUCUUGACAUCCACAGAAUUUCUCAGAGAUGAGGAAGUGCCUUCGGGAACUGUGAGACAGGUGCUGCAUGGCUGUCGUCAGCUCGUGUUGUGAAAUGUUGGGUUAAGUCCCGCAACGAGCGCAACCCUUAUCCUUUGUUGCCAACGAUUCGGUCGGGAACUCAAAGGAGACUGCCAGUGAUAAACUGGAGGAAGGUGGGGAUGACGUCAAGUCAUCAUGGCCCUUACGACCAGGGCUACACACGUGCUACAAUGGCAUAUACAAAGAGAAGCGACCUCGCGAGAGCAAGCGGACCUCAUAAAGUAUGUCGUAGUCCGGAUUGGAGUCUGCAACUCGACUCCAUGAAGUCGGAAUCGCUAGUAAUCGUGGAUCAGAAUGCCACGGUGAAUACGUUCCCGGGCCUUGUACACACCGCCCGUCACACCAUGGGAGUGGGUUGCAAAAGAAGUAGGUAGCUUAACCUUCGGGAGGGCGCUUACCACUUUGUGAUUCAUGACUGGGGUGA
rnacentral:rRNA from 1 species